rnacentral:rRNA from 1 species
AUUCCAGUUCGAGUAGCGUAUAUGUACGUUGUUGCAGUUAAAAAGCUCGUAGUUGGACGUUUGUGUGUGUUGAUGUAUUUGGUAGUAACCAGUAUGUUGACCGCACUUUUUUGUACGCCUCGAGUCGGCAUUGAGUUGUCGGUUCGAUCCAGGCUGCAUCGUUUACUGUGAAAAAAUUAGAGUGUUUCAAGCAGGCGUUUGUCUUGAAUACAUUAGCAUGGAAUAACAAGAUAUGACUGUGGUGAUUAUUUUGUUGGUUUGCACACCGUAGUAAUGAUUAAUAGGGACAGUUGGGGGUAUUCAUAUUUGAGCGUCAGAGGUGAAAUUCUUGGAUCGCUGAAAGAUGAACCAAGGCGAAAGCAUUUACCAAGAAUGUUUUCAUUA